UCGAGAAUCUUUCCCAAUGGGCGAAAGCCUGAGGAUGCGACGUCGCGUGGAGGAUGAAGGCCUUCGGGUCGUAAACUCCUUUUAUUAGGGAGGAAGGCUAAAAGGUAAAUAAUCUUUUAGAUUGACUGUACCUGAUGAAUAGGCCACGGCUAACUCCGUGCCAGCAGCCGCGGUAAUACGGAGGUGGCAAGCGUUACUCGGAAUGACUGGGUGUAAAGGGUCCGCAGGCGGCCUUGCAAGUGGAAUGUGAAAUCCAUCGGCUUAACUGAUGAACUGCAUUUCAAACUGCUUGGCUAGAGGCAGAAAGAGGAGAGCGGAACUGUCGGUGUAAAGGUGAAAUUUGUGGAUAU
rnacentral:rRNA from 1 species